rnacentral:ncRNA from 1 species
GUGAGCCGCAUGCGGGGAGACCCGCACGUACGGUUUUUAGGGGGAUCUGGUCGAAAGACGGCCGGCACCCACCCGAC